UGGAGGAAGGUGGGGAUGACGUCAAGUCAUCAUGGCCCUUACGACCAGGGCUACACACGUGCUACAAUGGCGCAUACAAAGAGAAGCGACCUCGCGAGAGCAAGCGGACCUCAUAAAGUGCGUCGUAGUCCGGAUUGGAGUCUGCAACUCGACUCCAUGAAGUCGGAAUCGCUAGUAAUCGUGGAUCAGAAUGCCACGGUGAAUACGUUCCCGGGCCUUGUACACACCGCCCGUCACACCAUGGGAGUGGGUUGCAAAAGAAGUAGGUAGCUUAACCUUCGGGAGGGCGCUUACCACUUUGUGAUUCAUGACUGGGGUGAAGUCGUAACAAGGUAACCGUAGGGGAACCUGCGGUUGGAUCAC
rnacentral:rRNA from 1 species